rnacentral:rRNA from 1 species
GAUGAACGCUGGCGGCGUGCCUAACACAUGCAAGUCGAGCGAACACAUGGUGAGCUCUUUCUCCUGCCGUUAGCGGGGGGCGGACGAGUAACACGUACAUCACCUUCCUCUUAUACUGGGAUAAUUACGGGAAAACGCUUAUGAUACUGGCUCAUAUAUUCUACCGCUUGGAUCAAUAGAUCUAGAGGGCUUUCCCGUUUCAAUUAGACGGUUCCGCGCCGCAUUAGCUAGUUGGUAAGGUAACGGCUUACCAAGGCAACGAUGCGUAGCCGACCUGAGAGGGUGAUCGGCCACACUGGAACUGAGACACGGUCCAGACUCCUACGGGAGGCAGCAGUAGGGAAUCUUCCGCAAUGGGCGAAAGCCUGACGGAGCAACGCCGCGUGAGUGAUGAAGGUCUUCGGAUCGUAAAACUCUGUUAUUAGGGAAGAACAGAUGUGUAAGUAACUAUGCACGUCUUGACGGUACCUAAUCAGAAAGCCACGGCUAACUACGUG